rnacentral:tRNA from 1 species
ACUAUUUUGACAGAUUAUUGUGUUGGGUUUAGAAUUCAUUUAUGUGUAUUUAUUUCACAAAUAGUA